rnacentral:rRNA from 1 species
CCUUACGGCUCAGUAACACGUGGAUAACCUGCCCUUGGGUCCGGCAUAACCCCGGGAAACUGGGGAUAAUUCCGGAUAACGCAUAUAUGCUGGAAUGCUUUAUGCGUCAAAUGGAUUCGUCUGCCCAAGGAUGGAUCUGCGGCCUAUCAGGUAGUAGUGGGUGUAAUGUACCUACUAGCCAACAACGGGUACGGGUUGUGAGAGCAAGAGCCCGGAGAUGGAUUCUGAGACAUGAAUCCAGGCCCUACGGGGCGCAGCAGGCGCGAAAACUUUACAAUGCGGGAAACCGUGAUAAGGGGACACCGAGUGCCAGCAUCAUAUGCUGGCUGUCCGGGUGUGUAAAAUACACCUGUUAGCAAGGGCCGGGCAAGACCGGUGCCAGCCGCCGCGGUAACACCGGCGGCCCGAGUGGUGAUCGUGAUUAUUGGGUCUAAAGGGUCCGUAGCCGGUUUGGUCAGUCCUCCGGGAAAUCUGACAGCUCAACUGUUAGGCUUUCGGGGGAUACUGCCAGACUUGGAACCGGGAGAGGUAAGAGGUACUACAGGGGUAGGAGUGAAAUCUUGUAAUCCCUGUGGGACCACCUGUGGCGAAGGCGUCUUACCAGAACGGGUUCGACGGUGAGGGACGAAAGCUGGGGGCACGAACCGGAUUAGAUACCCGGGUAGUCCCAGCCGUAAACGAUGCUCGCUAGGUGUCAGGCAUGGCGCGACCGUGUCUGGUGCCGCAGGGAAGCCGUGAAGCGAGCCACCUGGGAAGUACGGCCGCAAGGCUGAAACUUAAAGGAAUUGGCGGGGGAGCAC